rnacentral:rRNA from 1 species
GACGAACGCUGGCGGCGUGCUUAACACAUGCAAGUCGAACGGAAAGGCCCUGCUUUUGUGGGGUGCUCGAGUGGCGAACGGGUGAGUAACACGUGAGUAACCUGCCCUUGACUUUGGGAUAACUUCAGGAAACUGGGGCUAAUACCGGAUAGGAGCUCCUGCUGCAUGGUGGGGGUUGGAAAGUUUCGGCGGUUGGGGAUGGACUCGCGGCUUAUCAGCUUGUUGGUGGGGUAGUGGCUUACCAAGGCUUUGACGGGUAGCCGGCCUGAGAGGGUGACCGGCCACAUGGGGACUGAGAUACGGCCCAGACUCCUACGGGAGGCAGCAGUGGGGAAUAUUGCACAAUGGGCGGAAGCCUGAGGCAGCAACGCCGCGUGCGGGAGGACGGCCUUCGGGUUGGAAACCGCUUUCGCCUGUGACGAAGCGUGAGUGACGGGAAUGGGGAAAGAAGCACCGGCUAACUACGU